ACACAAAAAAAAAAAAAAAAAAAAAGGCAGUCAUAAACCCCGACACGGUCUAGAUACCACUCGAUUUCUCGCGUGUUGUGUCGUUCGUUUCCAACAUCAAUGGCGAGAACACCAACUUGGAAGACGUUUCUUAUACUCUUCUCACACUUACGGAUGACGUGAUCGCCCACGUUGUCCGGAUUCAAAAUGGUGUAGGCUGGUCGGAGUCCUUCCGAGUUCCAGCUAACCCUGGACACACAGCAUACACCAAGAUCUUGCGCCUAACUGGCUGUCUCGCUUAGUUGAGAUGAAGGUUGUCCUCGUCACCAGGGUCUUUAGAUCUCGGCGGUGGGAGAGAUACAGGUACACGAUGAGUGUGGCCUCCCUCAUACUCCUGGACCCACCAUCACGCAAGUGUACCUGGACAGGCAAGGUAUGGGGGAUAUCGGCGACACACGAUGAGUGUGGCCUCCCUCAUACUCUUGGACCCACCGUCACGCAAGUGUACCUGGACAGGCAAGGUAUGGGGGAUAUCGGCGACACCUCGACUUACCUGGAUUUCUACUGGCUCUUAUAAGACAUACUUAAUGAGGUCAAAGGGUUUGCGGACGAGAACUGCUAUUAUCCCACCUAUUGGCCCGCCGCGUCAAAGGGUUUUCACCGAAUUUCUACUGGCUAGCUCAUGACAUACUUAUUGAGGUCAAAGGGUUUUCACCGAAUUUCUACUGGCUAGCUCAUGACAUACUUAUUGAGGUCAAAGGGUUUUCGGAAGAGCACCGCUAUUAUCCAACGCAGGGGAUGAUUUUCAAACAGGUUUCAGGUAGGUCUCUUAAUCUAAAGAUGGUCACCGCCGGGCCUUUGAAGACGAAGGGGAUAAAGUUCAAACUGAACUCAGACAUGUCACUGAAUCUAAAGACAGUCACCGCCGGGCCUUAGAAAACGCAGGGGAUGAAGUUCAAACUGAACUCAGACAUGUCACUGAAUCUAAAGACUGUCACCGCCGGGCCUUAGAAAACGCAGGGGAUGAAGUUCAAACUGAACUCAGACAUGUCACUGAAUCUAAAGACAGUCACCGCCGGGCCUUAGAAAACGCAGGGGAUGAAGUUCAAACUGAACUCAGACAUGUCACUGAAUCUAAAGACUGUCACCGCCGGGCCUUAGAAAACGCAGGGGAUGAAGUUCAAACUGAACUCAGACAUGUCACUGAUCUAAAGACGGUCACCGCCGGGCCCUAGAAUACGCAGGGGUUGAAGUUCAAACUGAAUUCACCAGGAAGGGAAGGUAGACUUUCUCCAGGAGGAUCAUUAAGGGGAGGUAGACUUUCUCCAGCAGGAUCAUUAAGGGGAGGUAGACUUUCUCCAGCAGGAUCAUUAAGGGGAGGUAGACUUUCUCCAGCAGGAUCAUUAAGGGGAGGUAGACUUUCUCCAGCAGGAUCAUUAAGGGGAGGUAGACUUUCUCCAGCAGGAUCAUUAAGGGGAGGUAGACUUUCUCCAGCAGGAUCAUUAAGGGGAGGUAGACUUUCUCCAGCAGGAUCAUUAAGGGGAGGUAGACUUUCUCCAGCAGGAUCAUUAAGGGGAGGUAGACUUUCUCCAGCAGGAUCAUUAAGGGGAGGUAGACUUUCUCCAGCAGGAACAGCAUGAAGGGGAGGUCCAGCCCAGGCUCCACCCACCCACCCCUGUGGACAACAAGGGGAAUGAAAAAAUCAAAGAGACAGCUGGGAAAUGGAAAAAUUCACUUAUAACUUGAGAGAAAGGCCUAGCAUACUUAA